AAAUGAACAAGAAUGUAUGUUGGGUUAAUGAUGCUAGGUUUAGUUAAACACAAACACACGCAUGUACUGGCACACAUGCAUACACGCACAAGUGCAUAUACGCACACUUAUAUGUUGGUGGGUAUAAAACAUUUAACACAUUGAUGUCUGAACUAAAUAAAGGACAUUUGGGAUCAUAUUUGGAUCACCUUAAAGUGAACAAACAAUAGAUUGUACAUUUGAAACAAACAAAUAAAAUACACAAAUAAAAAUAAUCAAAUUAAUAAAUCAACUUUAGGGCGGUACAGAUUUAUGGGGUUCAGUUUGAGUUACUUUAUCUAUGUCUUUAAAAAUCACCCUUCAUGCAGCCUUACAAGCUGAAAAUAUUUUCUGUUUUCUUGAUUUUAGUCUGCAUCAUAUUGAACAAACAGAAGCCUGGAGUAACCCGAUUUGAAUUUUAAACUGUAUCACAGCCUCACUUGACACAGAUUUCUGAUUGGUUGAUCACAGUGGGAGGGAAAACUCAGUGGGUGACGUCACCAACGGGCCGGAAUCUGCAAGCGGGAGAAGUGCAGAGAACGAGAGACUUUUGACGAGCGCUAGUCGUAUUUUUUCUGCGUUUUAACAAUCCGUGGGAUGAAUCUCCAAAAAUUUUUUUGCUUGUCUGGAAAAGAUUCAAGUAAAAUCUUUGAAGUUUGCACGGUGAUCUAAAUUCUACACGUGAAAAUGAGUGAAUCAGAACCCAUGUUCCUCCACACUGCCAUUAUGGAGGUCCUACCAGAGCCACAAAAAACAUCCUGGAAGAACACUUGCAGUCCAUUGGAAUAAAUGGAGUUGUAUGAGGAUCUACGAUUCAUAGAAGAGGCUGACUUGCUGCCAGCUUUGAGACCUGUUCAAGCCCGGAAACGUCUUGCUCUCUGGAAAUUGAAAUACCAAACGCCAGAGAACAGCACAUCGUCAUCUGUUGAGACCUCACCAGCACAAUCAUCGUCACUUUUGUUAUAGUCACCAAGGAGUUCGUCAUCCACAUCUUCCAGAAGCCGAGGACUGUACGUACAUUGACUGGGAGGACAGCUUUGAAAUUCCAUGGAAAAUGAUGAAAGCAAGACGUUUUUCCAGACUCUAAAAGGCUGCAGAUGAUGCAAUGAGAGCAGAGUGUCUGCUCAGAAGAGAUGAGAUGUUAAAGAGAUGCUCUUUCUUUUGCUCUGCUACUUUGAGGAGGAUGCCAUGUUCUUGUAGAAGAUGCAGACGAGGUCCAGAUGCAGCAGGUGCCGUUGACUCCAACUGCUAUUUAUGUGGACAGUCUUGCUUUUCCCCAAGGAGGUUCAUGCUGAGUUGGAACCGCUCCAUCGUACACAACAACAUUGCAGCACUGUGCCUGAUGUUCGGAAGCUACUUCUGCUUUAUCAGUCAUUAUCCAACUGAGCUGGCUUCAACCCUGGAGUUUCUGCAAAGCUGAUGUCCUGUGAUGUGCCACUCUACCUGGUUGGGAACAAAUUGAAGAGGCCAAGCUCAAGAAAGCCUUUGUCAGCAAAUGUAGGGCAGAACCGGUUCUAAGGCUACUGCCAUGAUCUACAGUAUGCGGACUGGUUUCUUUUCCAUCUUUUUUCUUAUUUUUAAUCUUAAUUUGGUUCUCAAAUUGGUUCAUGGAUUUGAUAGUCUGCAAGUUUCAGAGAAUGUUUUUAUGUUUAUGUUUUUCUAAUGUUUUUUUUCAGUGUGUUGUUUAAAAUCUGGAAGUAUUCAUGACCAGCGUGUCAACCAGAUUGAGUACGCCACGGUUCAUGUACUUAAUGCAUUUAAUAUUUUAAAAAGUGUCUAAUACUGCUACCACAAUUAAAAUGCUGUACUGAUGAUGGUGCUGCCCAAAUAAAGUGUAAAGCAUUUACAUUUCUAGUAUUGUUUUUACUGUUACUGUAUAUCAGUGGUCUCCCAUCCUGGUCCUUGAAGGUCACUGUUCUGGAUGUUUUAGCUGUUUUCCUGCUCCAACAGAUCUGCUGCAGUGGUUGAAUUGCCUCCUCAAGUUCUGCAGGAGGUGGUUAAUCACCUGUUGAUUCACAUCUGGGGAGCAAAGAAACAUCUAAACCCUACUGGAUGGUGGCCCUUGAGGACCAGGAUUGGCGACCACUGCUAUAAAACUAAAUUCUCUUUUCUUUCUCAAAUACAUCUCAAAUAUCAUUCUCAUUAACGGCUUUGGUAAGACAUUCAAGAGAAAUGAUUAAGACAUGAAAGAGACAUCAGACAGACAACGAUGAGAUCUCUUUUAGGACUCAUUCUUCUCAGAUUUGUCUCAUGAGCGUCUUAGGUUCGUCUCUCCCACUUCUUAAUUAUUGCUCUAACAGUUGUCUCAACUCAACCUCAUUU